GUACUGCGCUUUGUCCGGUUGGGCGAUCAUACAGUCUACAACGAGCAGCGACAAGGGCAUAAACUUUUGUCUUUAAAUCAUUGUAGGAACUCCGUUACGAAAACAUUGCUGGUUAGUGGAACAGCCCCUGCAAACGAAUCAGCAUCCCCAUCGAAAAGUCAAGCUAGUGUGCUGCCUGCCCUGUCGCUGUGACAUAAAUAACCAGUGAUACGCCAAGCCUACAUAGCUCGAGCAAUCUGCCUGCUGGUUGCCUUAGUCUGUCCAGAUGGGUCAGGAACUGUCGUCUUUGUUUAUCACAUUGAGUCAUCUCACUUACUCUUCUGUGACCCAGUGUGAUUACGAGGUCUAUUCCAACGAACCACAAAAGUGCAGUAGACAAAUGGUUAGGACAGGCUUCCUACUGUUGCUGGUUUCCCAAGCUUCAAGUGCUCUGUAUUCAUACUUUCCGGCAGGGAAUGAGUACUCUGAAGAGGCCAGUCUCUCGCAGCACUCGACUUAAUGAAGCUUACGGAUGACAGCAGCGCAUAUCCCGGGCAGCGGCAGAAAUAUGAGGUCACGAACGUGUUCAGCUGUCAGUGCAGUGUUCAUUGUUGAGAAAAUGGCGACUCCGCAAGAAAGAGCGCCAAUAGUUGUGUGGUUUUGUGAAAUGAAAUCGGUGACACAAACGCAGAGGAACUUCAGAACACAUCACCAGAAAGAUCCUCCUUCUAGAAACAGUAUCAUAGACUGCAAAAAGAAAUUUUUGGAAACAGGAAGUGUUGUCAGUAAGAAAAGUUCCGGACUUCCCAGCACAAGCAAUGAUGACGUUGAGCGUGUCCGAGAAGCAUUUGCACCAGUCACAGGAAAUCUUUGAGAACAGAGGCAAGAGAAUUGAAUAUGCCAGUUUCAACAGUACACAAGGUUCUACGGAAGAAAUUACGGCUGUAUGCUUAUAAGAUGCAACUUGUGCAAGCUAUUGAACCACAUGAUAAGCCUAAGAGAACGGAAUAAGUGAAAAGACGAAUGUGAUUGCGUGUAAUUAUACAGCUGUGUUCGUAUACCUGAGGAUGACCUCUUGAGGUCGAAACAUGUAGUGUAAUAAUAAUAAAAAUAUGUUGUGUGUCGGUAAAAUUGACUCUAAGAGAACGGUUUUUGCAACAGAUAUGUUACGAAGAACAGAGGAUGAUGAAAGAUUUCUUACAAACGUAUUGUUCUCUGAUGAAGCUUGUUUCCACAUUUCUGGAAGAGUCAAUCGCCAUAACGUACCCAUUUGGGGAUCAGAGAACCCUCUUGAAUACCGUGAAAUGGCAAGAAACUCCCCAAAAGUGAAUGUGUGGUGUGUACUUAUGCAUGAUCGAGUCAUUGGGCCUUUCUUUUUCGCGGAAAAUGCAGUCACGUGAGUCAUUUAUCUAGAUAUGUUGCAGAAUUUCGUAUUCCCGCAAAUUGAAGCGCUUCAGUCCGAAAUCAUUUUCCAACAAGACGGUGCAACACCUCAUUGGAGCACCAUAGCUCGUGAUGCUUUGGACAAACAUUUUCCAGAAAAAUGGAUUGAAUGAGGUGGUCCAAUUUCUUGGCCCCCAAGAUCACCUGACAUAACCCAACUGGACGUUUUCCUCUGGGGAUAUGUCAAAGACAUUGCUUAUAAGACGCAGGUGAGAGACAUCUAUCAAUUAAAAACCAGAGUAAGAGACGCACUAACCACUGUGGAUGUCGGUAUGCUUGCCCGAACCUGGCAAGAAAUCGAAUAUCGUCUUGAUAUUUUACGUGCAACAAAUGGAACACAUGUACAACUUUAUUAACAAUAGACACAAAAUUUUUAAUUUCUCGAUCCAACAAUGUA